CCUAAAACAAUUUGGAAAAGGUGAACAAUGGCAUGAGAUCAUCAGAGCGUGAAA
rnacentral:sRNA from 1 species